AAACAAAACUGUACAAAAUUGUUUACAACAAAAGAGUCCUAAAAGAAGAUCUAACUACUGUUCCCUAUGGAUUUUAAGUGCCUUUUCUUAAACGAGAGGAGUAUAUAAAGCUUCACACAUUUCUGAAGAUCAUCAGUACCCCACAAAAUGGAGUGGCCUGUGUUGAAACACCCUUCCACAUCUCUCAUCAGCGGUCCGACAGGAUCCGGUAAGACAUAUUUUGUGAAACGAGUCAUCGAAGAAAGUCUGCUUUCUCCUAUGCCUCAGCGUAUAAUUUAUUGCUAUGGAGCAUAUCAACCUAUUUUUAGUAAAAUGAAAAAUGUGCAGUUUGAAGAAGGACUACCAUCGAACCUCAAUUCCCUGCAAAAUGCACUAAUUAUCAUUGAUGAUUUAAUGUCUGAGUUAGCGAGCGAUACUCGUUUAAGUAAACUUUUUACGAAAGGAAGCCAUCACCGAAAUCUUUCUAUAAUAUUUAUCGUUCAAAAUUUAUUUCAGCAGGGUAAAGAGAUGCGAACCAUUCAUUUGAAUUGUCAUUACAUGAUACUGUUCAAAAAUCCUAGAGAUAAAUGUCAAGUCGUACAUUUGGCAAGGCAGAUGUUCCCCGGGAAAACAAAGGCUUUUCAGGAAGUCUUCCAGGAUGCAACUUCAAACCCUUACAGUUAUUUACUAAUAGAUUUAAGACCAGAAACCCAAGAAAUGUUAAGGUUACGUACAGGCAUUUUCCCUUCAGAUAAGCAUUUUGUUUAUGAACUCCGUUAGUUGCUGUUGCACUCAACAAGUUUUCUCCUUCAGUGAUUUAAUUUGUAGGUUUUUUAAAAUUUAAAACUCUCUUUUACAUUGUAAAAGAAUAAAAUUUGCCACACCGAAUUUUUUUUUUUUUUUUUUUUUUUUUUUUUUGAAAAUUAGAUUAUUUAAAAAAUGUCCUAAAAUAUAAGAUCUGCACAAAAAGCGGUUGCUUAUGCGACCUUUAUAAAAGAGAAGGAAUUGUUAAAGUACCAAUCAUUUGAGGUCCAGAUGUCGAGCCUGGAACAUCUUAAACUCCUAGGCAAAAGUAAAGUAAAAAAAACUCUUCUAAGAAAAUGUCCCAAUAGUGUUAUUAAAAGUGUAUGUGAAUGUGCUUUAAAUGUAUUACAGGGUAACGUUCCUUUGUCUAAAAGACAGAAACGUAAACUGGCCGUAUAUAAACGGACUUUGCGUACAUUAGGUGAUAAAAAGAUACCCUUAUUUAAAAAACGGAGACUAUUGGUACAAAAAGGUGAUGGAUUUCUUUCGUUGCUCAUUCCUGCCGCAGUUUCUGUACUGAGCACAUUAAUUAAUGGAGUUCGCUCGUAAAUUUAUCCUUGUACCCUCGGAUCGAGAAUUAGAAUUUGCUGAAAACCAUUUAUCAGAUUUAGAUCAGCAAAUGAGCACCAUUUUAAACGAGAAGUUAUCCGAAGAUGAAAAAGCCAAGCAAUACCUUCAAAUACUUCAAAAAUAUGUAACAUUUCCCCAAUUAAAAUCAGAAACACAAGAAAGUGUUCAGCUUAGCAAAAAGAAGAAGAGAAAAAGUUUACCAUGGAAGAAGAAAUUGUGAAUUCCGCUCCAGUGAAAUUUAAGAACAUUGCCAAAAGAAUUAUAGACUUUUUAAAACUUCACAAUGAUAUUAUUACAUGGACUCCAUCUAAAGAAUUAAUCAUGAACCAAGUUAAAAUUAAUAAUUCUAAUGUUCAAGACUUGGUGAAUUAUUUGUUAAGAAAUCAACAGACCAAGCCUGUAGGUUAUGAAGAGUUUAAAAAAUUCUUAGAUGUUGUAGAUUUUCCCAGGGAGUUUGUAAAAAACAAGUAUCUGUUUACAAUGUAUGCUAAACCUAAAUGUGUAAAAAAGAAAAGAAAAUUGUAUUCAACUUCUUGGAUAAAAUAUUAAAUAAAAAGAAAGAUAUUAGUUAAA